GCCGCGCAUUUCUCGUGACUGUAGACAGUGUUAUUGCUAAAAGUAACGACGUACAUACACAUUACACGUGACGCCGAAUUUAUAACAUCUCGGCAGGGAAAUCCCAUGAUCCGUCUUGGUGUCCACCACUACAGCUUGGUCAAGAAGCAGAGUAAAGGGUCGAAGCAACGGUGGUGUUGCACCAAGAGUUACACCGGGUGCCGCGCAUUUCUCGUGACUGUAGACAGUGUUAUUGCUAAAAGUAACGAUGUACAUACACAUUACACGUAAUAUGCAAUAAACAUACU